rnacentral:rRNA from 1 species
UACGGAGGGCGCAAGCGUUGUUCGGAAUCACUGGGCGUAAAGCGCGAGUAGGUGGUCUGUUAUGUCAGGUGUGAAAGCCCAAGGCUCAACCUUGGAAUGGCGCUUGAAACUGGCAGACUAGAGUGCAGUAGGGGAGGGUGGAAUUCCUAGUGUAGAGGUAAAAUUCGCAGAUAUCAGGAGGAACACCGGUGGCGAAGGCGGCCACCUGGACGGUAACUGACGCUGAGACGCGAAAGCGUGGGGAGCAAACAGG